rnacentral:rRNA from 1 species
GUUGUAUGGUUAAGUGACUAAGCGUACACGGUGGAUGCCUGGGCAGUCAGAGGCGAUGAAGGACGUACUAACUUGCGAUAAGCGCAGAUAAGGCAGUAAGAGCCGUUUGAGUCUGCGAUUUCCGAAUGGGGAAACCCAACUGCAUAAGCAGUUACUGUUAACUGAAUACAUAGGUUAACAGAGCAAACCGGGGGAACUGAAACAUCUAAGUACCCCGAGGAGAAGAAAUCAACCGAGAUUCCGGUAGUAGCGGCGAGCGAACCUGGAUUAGCCCUUAAGCACUCGGUGAAGUAGGUGAACAAGCUGGAAAGCUUGGCGAUACAGGGUGAUAGCCCCGUAACCGACGCUUCAUCGAGCGUGAAAUCGAGUAGGGCGGGACACGUGAUAUCCUGUCUGAAUAUGGGGGGACCAUCCUCCAAGGCUAAAUACUCCUGACUGACCGAUAGUGAACCAGUACCGUGAGGGAAAGGCGAAAAGAACCCCUGUGAGGGGAGUGAAAUAGAACCUGAAACCGUGUACGUACAAGCAGUAGGAGCACCUUCGUGGUGUGACUGCGUACCUUUUGUAUAAUGGGUCAGCGACUUAUAUUCAGUGGCAAGGUUAACCGUAUAGGGGAGCCGUAGCGAAAGCGAGUCUUAACUGGGCGCUCAGUCUCUGGAUAUAGACCCGAAACCGGGUGAUCUAGCCAUGGGCAGGUUGAAGGUUGAGUAACAUCAACUGGAGGACCGAACCGACUAAUGUUGAAAAAUUAGCGGAUGACUUGUGGCUAGGGGUGAAAGGCCAAUCAAACUCGGAGAUAGCUGGUUCUCCCCGAAAGCUAUUUAGGUAGCGCCUCGGACGAAUACUACUGGGGGUAGAGCACUGUUAAGGCUAGGGGGUCAUCCCGACUUACCAACCCUUUGCAAACUCCGAAUACCAGUAAGUACUAUCCGGGAGACACACGGCGGGUGCUAACGUCCGUCGUGGAGAGGGAAACAACCCAGACCGCCAGCUAAGGUCCCAAAGUAUUGCUAAGUGGGAAACGAUGUGGGAAGGCUCAGACAGCUAGGAUGUUGGCUUAGAAGCAGCCAUCAUUUAAAGAAAGCGUAAUAGCUCACU